rnacentral:ncRNA from 1 species
AAUAAAUUUUUUAUGGUUUAAUAAUUUAUUAUAAAUUUAUUUUACAUAUAAAUUUUAGUGUUGAAUUUUAAUUAUUUUAAUAAUAAUUAAUUUAAUUAAAUAGUAAUUAAUAUUAAAAAUUUAAGAAAUUAAGAUUUAGUAAUAUUUAAAUUAAAAACUAAUUUUGUGCCAGCAGUUGCGGUUAAACAAAAUUUAAAUUAAAUUUUAUUGGUAAUUAAUAAAUAAUAUAAAAAUAUAUUUUAAAUUUUAAAUUAUUAAGUGAAAUUUUAAUUUAAUUAAAAUUUAUAAAAAUAUUUAUGAUUUAAUAUUUUUUAUAAUAAACUAGGAUUAGAUACCCUAUUAUUAAAAUUUAAAUUAAAAAUACUAAAAUAGUAUAUAAUUAUUUAUUGAAACUUAAAUAAUUUGGCGGUAUUUUAGUUCAUUUAGAGGAAUCUGUUUAUUAAUUGAUAACCCACGAAUAAAUUUACUUAAUUUAUUUAAUUUGUAUAUCGUUGUUAAUAAAUAUUUUUUAAUGAUAAUAAUAUUUUAAAAUUUUUAUAUUAAAAUUAAAUCAGAUCAAGAUGCAGUUUAUAAUUAAGAAUAUAAUGGAUUACAAUAAAUUUAUUUAUGUGGAUAUUAAUUUGUAAAAAUUAAUUAAAAUUGGAUUUAAAUGUAAUUUUAAUUAGUUUAUUAGAAUGAUUUAUAAUUAAAAUAUGUACAUAUUGCCCGUCACUUUCAUUAAUAAAUUGAAAUAAGUCGUAACAAAGUAGAGAUACUGGAAAGUGUUUCUAGAAAGAU